AUGCUGUGGGAGAGCCAGGCAUCGCUGCAGAAACCACAGCUGACGAUGACACCAUCUGCCCUGCGGCUCUCGGACCUGGCCCUGGCAUGUGAAAAGCUCAAUGCUUUUUAUAAAUGCGUCUCGUUCCCAUCUUGUGGCACGGCCAGGCUGGGCAAUUGUUGUGGAUGUCAUACUGCCAGGAGGCUCCGUGGUCACUAGUGAGACCAGGAGUGGCCCAAUAAAUAGUGUAAGGAAGCUGGUUUGGGCCAAGCCUUUGAGAAGUGCUUCCCAGGCAAAAGGAAUUGUGCUGGAAGAAGUAGGGGUUGAAGCCAAACAGCCAAAUUCUGCCAUCAGAAAGUGUGUCAGGGUCCCACGGAUCAGUAAGAAAACACAGCCUUUGUUCUUUGUAGGAACAGUAAGAAAAUCACAGCGUUUGUACCCAACGAUGAUCGCUCGAACUUGAUUGGGGAAAAUGAUGCAGUUCUGGCUGCUGGAUUUGGUGGAAAAGGUCAUGCUGUUGGUGACAUUCCUGGAGUCCCCUUUAAGGUUGUCAAAGUAGCCAAUGUCUCUCUUUUGGCCCUAUACAAAGGCAAGAAGGAAAGACCAAGAUCAUAAAUUUCGAUGGUGAAAACACAGUAGUAAUAAAUUUUCAUGUG